rnacentral:rRNA from 1 species
UACAGAGGUCUCAAGCGUUGUUCGGAUUCAUUGGGCGUAAAGGGUGCGUAGGCGGCGCGGUAAGUCGGGUGUGAAAUCUCGGGGCUUAACUCCGAAACUGCAUUCGAUACUGCCGUGCUUGAGGACUGGAGAGGAGACUGGAAUUUACGGUGUAGCGGUGAAAUGCGUAGAUAUCAGGAAGAACACCGACGGCGAAGGCAGCUCGCUGGGACGGUACUGACGCUGAGGCGCGAAAGCGUGGGGAGCGAACAGG